rnacentral:rRNA from 1 species
GUGGGGAAUAUUGCACAAUGGGCGAAAGCCUGAUGCAGCAACGCCGCGUGAGGGACGACGGCCUUCGGGUUGUAAACCUCUUUUAGUAGGGAAGAAGCGAAAGUGACGGUACCUGCAGAAAAAGCACCGGCUAACUACGUGCCAGCAGCCGCGGUAAUACGUAGGGUGCAAGCGUUAUCCGGAAUUAUUGGGCGUAAAGAGCUCGUAGGCGGUCUGUCGCGUCUGCUGUGAAAACUGGAGGCUCAACCUCCAGCCUGCAGUGGGUACGGGCAGACUAGAGUGCGGUAGGGGAGAUUGGAAGUCCUGGUGUAGCGGUGGAAUGCGCAGAUAUCAGGAGGAACACCGAUGGCGAAGGCAGAUCUCUGGGCCGUAACUGACGCUGAGGAGCGAAAGCGUGGGGAGCGAACAGGAUUAGAAACCCGGGUAGUCC